GUGGAAUCAUCCUUUUUUUAAAGCUAUUAUUUUAUGAGAAUUUACACAAAAUAAAACAGUCAUGGGCUCACUACAGUCAACAUACCCCCAAAUUUUCCUCCUUUGUUGUCAUCCCCUUCCUGUCAUCCCUGGCCUGUGAACAUCGCUCUUCUGUUUCUGUCUUGAUAGUUUUUCCUUUCCCAUGAUGUCAUACAAACAGGAUCAUACCGGACAUAGCAUUUCAAGCUAGGCUUCAUACAUUGAGCUUAGGCACAUUGUUCUACCUAGCAGUUCUUGCUCUUUUUUCUGGCCAAGUAGUAUUCUACAUAGGAACCUACUAAAGUUCAUUUAUCCAUUUAUAAAUUGAUGGCUAUUCAGGCUAUUUCUCAGGUUUGGUAGUUUUAUAUAAAGCCCAUUAAAAAAAUCCCUUUCUUUCUUUUUUUAAACUUGACUUAACUCAACCCAUACAGAGCAACUUGUAACUUGUUCAUACAACAAUUGCACUUUUAGUUUGGUGUGAAAUAAAAGAACUCUCCUUUGCUUUUUGCUUGAAGCAUGUAUUUUGAAAUACAAUUCUAACCAGUGCAGGCUGAUCAUGGUAAUUUGUCACAGACAUUCCAACAGGCAUCAUUGUCACUGCCCUUGUCCUUCUGGGUCUGAAUCUCUCCACAUGGAGAAGAGCACACCACUUCCUGUCCACAUCUAUACCAGUCAGGGUAAAAAGACUGGAGCAGCCACAUGCAUCUGUCCCCAUUGUGCCUUUCGCAAUAGAGCUUACGUAAAUAAUUGUAUGCAAAAGGUUUUAAAACUUUUCCCAUAGGACACUGGGAGGCAUAAGCCAGUACUUUAAACUCUUGUUUCAUUUUGAAAAUUACCUAUCAGAGUAAGAAGAAAAAUACAUAUAGAGACAUCAAAGGGCUAAACUCACAUCUUUCUCCUCUGAGUAAAACUUGGGGGAGAGAGCCCCAGGGAGCCGGAGGAAGUAAGAAAAAGAGAAAAGGCAGGAGGGGAUGGAGAAGAAGGAAGUGGAAAACAUGGGCAGUUCUACAGGACCUCGUAUCAUAGAAUCUCAAAAG
rnacentral:lncRNA from 1 species